GAUGCACGAAAACUCCAUGGGCAAGAAGAAAGAUGGAUCCGCUUUUUCUCUCCCGAUGAUACAAGACGCUCAGUUUCCUCCUUCCAAGCGCAGGCAGCUAGAAAGUGCCAGCAGGCAGCAGCAGAUUUGUUAACUCCGAGGCAGCGAGGACAUUUUGUAGGAAGCAGACUCAGAACAGAGCUGCUGCCAGGAGCUCGUCUUCCGCUGCACAACCACGUGCAACUCCUUCAUCUCCAGCACACCACAGCCCAACCUUCCUGUGCAAACCCGGUGAGAUAUCAGGCUCUCGGUCACCGUGAGGUCUUCUGUCACGAUACAAGCAGGGGAGACUCCAGAACCUCCGGAAGCCCUUCCAGGAUUCUGCCAUCCUACCAUUACAGAAGUUUUUUGGUGUCUCAUGGGGUUCUACCUUCCUGUGACGUCCAGGGAAGUGACCUUCCUCCUUCCAGCCCACUGCAGGUUACACCAGGACUUUCGGGUGGCACAGGCCCAGCUCUCCGUGCUUGUGGCCCCGUUCCAAAACUGCUGAUUAGCACAAGGGAAUUCCACAGCUAUUACAGUCCGUGUCAGCUGCCUCUACGCCUGCCCGCGCUGGCAGGGCAUUACCCUGUCUUCACGGAACAGCAAGGCCCCACCAAGACCCCUCCACGGCUCUGGAGCAAAAGCUACACUCAUUUCAGCAACCGGUGUAAAUCAUCAUUGGGCCCAGAUCCACAUUUUGUACCUAUGAAAGACCAACGAUGGAAAUCCAGAGCACCCCAAACGCGGAGUAACCCAGUCUAUGGGCUAAGCUGACAUUGGUGCAAAAAACAGGUGUUUUUUCCCCAAAAAAAUACACUGUGAGAGCGUGCACGUGGCUGCAGAGCUCCCAGAGAAACGCAGGGGCACUGCAGAGGCAACAAGUGGAGUGUGACUGCAGAGUGGACAUUCGAUCCCGAGCUGACCUGACACGCAUGCCGAUUGCCUCGGCUGGCUCUGCAGACGGGGGCACGUCUCGGAGAGGUUUUCGCCCUGUGCUUUCCGUAGUCUUGCAUCUUCAGAUGGUUGUAGCGCGGUCAUAACUUCCUGCCUUUACAUUUACAAUUGCUUUAUCGCAUCUGUUAAUAGGAAAAAUUGGUGGCUGUGCUUCAUUCCGCCUAUGGGGUGAAGUUAUUUCUGUAUUUGGCUAUCGGUUUAUACAAUUUGGGAGCUGGUAGGCAUGUGAGAUACGUCCCAUUUCAGAGGGAUUGGUAUCGCAUGCUCCAAGGGAAGCUGUAAAAUUCCAGCAGUGGCUAUUAGCGUAAUGAGAAAAAUAUUAUCAUUUUUAGUACAGUGACAUACCCAUGGAAGAGGUUUCUAUGAGGCACAGAUGGUAGGCUGACGUCCUGAAAUUAAAAAAAAAAAAAUGUAUAUGCAACAAAAAUAAAACCAUGAUUGCUGUAAAAUAAAAGCCUACU
rnacentral:lncRNA from 1 species